CCUACGGGGGGCAGCAGUGGGGAAUAUUGCACAAUGGGGGAAACCCUGAUGCAGCGACGCCGCGUGAGUGAAGAAGUAUUUCGGUAUGUAAAGCUCUAUCAGCAGGGAAGAAAAAAGACGGUACCUGACUAAGAAGCCCCGGCUAACUACGUGCCAGCAGCCGCGGUAAUACGUAGGGGGCACGCGUUAUCCGGAGUUACUGGGUGUAAAGGGAGCGUAUACGGCUGGGCAAGUCUGAAGUGAAAGGCAGGGGCUUAACCCGGGAACUGCGUUGGAAACUGGGAUGCUAGAGGGCUGGAGAGGUAAGUGGAAUUCCUGGUGUAGCGGUGAAAUGCGUAGAUAUUAGGAGGAACACCAGUGGCGAAGGCGGUCUGCUGGACAGCAACUGACGCUGAGGCGCGAAAGCGUGGGGAGCGAACAGGAUUAGAUACCCGGGUAGUC
rnacentral:rRNA from 1 species